ACAUGCCUACAACAUAGCAUUAAUGCACUAGAUCCCAUUAGAACUCCGCAAUUAAAUGCGCUCUUGCUAGAGUAGUAUUGGGAAGUGUGAUCGCUCGGGAAGUCCUAGUAUUUUACAUGCC
rfam:Picea glauca, whole genome shotgun sequence.